GAUGAACGCUGGCGGCGUGCCUAAUACAUGCAAGUCGAGCGAACAGACGAGGAGCUUGCUCCUCUGACGUUAGCGGCGGACGGGUGAGUAACACGUGGAUAACCUACCUAUAAGACUGGGAUAACUUCGGGAAACCGGAGCUAAUACCGGAUAAUAUAUUGAACCGCAUGGUUCAAUAGUGAAAGACGGUUUUGCUGUCACUUAUAGAUGGAUCCGCGCCGCAUUAGCUAGUUGGUAAGGUAACGGCUUACCAAGGCAACGAUGCGUAGCCGACCUGAGAGGAUGAUGGGCCACACGGGAACUGAGACACGGUCCAGACUCCUACGGGAGGCAGCAGUGGGGAAUAUUGGACAAUGGGCGAAAGCCUGACGAAGCCACACCGCGUGGGUGAAGAAGGUCUUCGGCUCUUAAAGCUCUUUUAUUGGGAAAGAAAAACAGUAGAAUAAUAUCCCCCUGUUCUGACGGUACCCAAACAAAAAGCACCGGCUAACUUCGUG
rnacentral:rRNA from 1 species